rnacentral:lncRNA from 1 species
GGAUUUCCAUGGGCUCGUUGCAUCACUCUCCAUUUUCUCCUCCAUCCAUGCCCGAGGUAGAAUUCCUUCAAUAUGUAGAGAUGUGAUUAAACCCGUGAGUUGAAAAACUCAAUAGGUGUCAUAGGUGCAUUCGUGAUCAAACUAUAUAUUUCAAAACAUUAACUUUAUAACUUUUCAUAUAUGCCGUACCCGGAGGCACCAUUUGACACGAAGGGGUAUGCCCUACCCGAGGGCACCAUUUGACAUACGAACAUUUCUUCAACAUAGAGGGGUAUGCCGUACCGGAGUACCAUUUGACAUACAACCAUUAACAUAGAGGGAUAUGCCGUACCGGAGUACCAUUUGACAUACAAACAUUAACAUGAAUCGAAACUUAUAACUUAACACGAUUAAACACAUUGCACCUCUACCUACCUUGAUUGAUGCUUUUGAAACUUUGAAAACUUCGAUUGAAAACUUCGAUGAAACUUGGACGUUGAAAGAAAUGCACUCCUUGAAUGUUUGAAAACCGUUGAGAAUUGAUGCUUGAAGACACUCCUUGAUAGCACCCAAAACUU